rnacentral:rRNA from 1 species
UACAGAGGGUGCGAGCGUUAAUCGGAAUUACUGGGCGUAAAGCGUGCGUAGACGGCUAUCUAAGUCGGGUGUGAAAGCCCCGGGCUCAACCUGGGAAUUGCAUUCGAGACUGAAUAGCUAGGGUACGGUAGAGGGAAGUGGAAUUUCCGGUGUAGCGGUGAAAUGCGUAGAUAUCGGAAGGAACAUCAGUGGCGAAAGCGACUUCCUGGACCAGUACCGACGUUCAGGCACGAA